CUGAGUGACCAUCUCAUUUUCAAGACAUAAAUCUUGUGUAGUCUGAUUCCAACAUUUAGAGAUGCCUGACUCAUCAAAACAAACUAAAAAAGAAACAACAGCCUGAUGGGUAAUCAGAUUUUUAUGAUACUGUGGAGAUGAUUGCCUUGGAAACUUGGAGAUUUUGAUCAGAACAUCUAUGGUUAACCAGAACCCACAUACAAAGUUGCACAACAAGCUUCUCCUGCAGGGUCCAGGGGCCUGUUGGAUGGUGGAUGCUGCCCGAUCUGCCAACGUCAUCCCGCUCCAGCCACAACAUCUGUCAGGAAAUCUUUUUUGCAAACUCAGUAGGCAUCUACAUCUGCUGCGUGUCCUUUGCCGCAUUAGGCGACGGCCGCUAUCCAAACAAUGAAUGGCUGGACACAGAGGGACCCGUGUACAAAUGGAAUCCCAUUACAACGCAAUGGCUCUCAGGGGCCGACGUUGACCCCCUUUUUUAUUCCCUCUCCGCCAACCGCAGCGGCUAUUUUAUGCUCCUCUGAUUGACAGCUCCCUUCCAGGAAAGGAAAGAUGUUGUUACCGUGACAACAGCUCAUGCUACACCGGUGUGGAUACAAGCUUUUGAUAAAUAUCACUCCAGUACACUGAAAUCAGCAGGUGAUAUUUAGAGGUCAUUAUACUGGCUACAGGAUUUUAUAAUGUAUUUACACUCAUAGACAUAGUGGAGACGAUGACAGUGAUCUAAGUAACAGCUGUUUUGUUUCAUGACAGACACAUGUGCUUUUAAGUGCAGUUAAUAUACCUAUAAUAUCAACAGUGAGUGGCCAUUAUUCACAUUGACAGCAGAGAUUUGAGUUUCCUCAUCAGACAUAAAUAGGAUACAGUGGUAUCUUCCUAACAGACUGACAUACAACACUUCCAUGAUGAGCUUUUGCACACAGCACGGCUCCUUUCUGCACAAGUUUCAAUAUAUCGCAUCUAAAAAUAGUUUCAAGCAGUGAAAUGGAAAGCAGACAAAGCAAUAAAGAGUUGGAGAUACGGAGGUGAGGAAAUGAAAAAGGCUCCUCUUUUGUUAUCUGUGAUGUCUUUUCUUCUUUUGCUCUCCUCAUUAGCAGUAAAGAAUUUCAAGUUAUAGCAUCUCUUGGUUCACUGAGCCCUUUUCCUUUACUUGCUCCUUUUUUUUUUUUUUCCAUUCAACCCCUCCCUUCUGGGGUUGCCAAAUCAGUUUACC